ACAGCCUUCUGAAAGGAAGAUUAAUACAAGAUGGCAUCAUGAGUCCGCAUGUUCACAUGAUUAAAGGUAUUCCGGUAGACGAUGGGGAUGCGUUCCAUUAGAUAGUAGGCGGGGUAACGGCCCACCUAGUCUUCGAUGGAUAGGGGUUCUGAGAGGAAGGUCCCCCACAUUGGAACUGAGACACGGUCCAAACUCCUACGGGAGGCAGCAGUGAGGAAUAUUGGUCAAUGGGCGAGAGCCUGAACCAGCCAAGUAGCGUGAAGGAUGACUGCCCUAUGGGUUGUAAACUUCUUUUAUAAAGGAAUAAAGUCGGGUAUGCAUACCCGUUUGUAUGUACUUUAUGAAUAAGGAUCGGCUAACUCCGUGCCAGCAGCCGCGGUAAUACGGAGGAUCCGAGCGUUAUCCGGAUUUAUUGGGUUUAAAGGGAGCGUAGAUGGAUGUUUAAGUCAGUUGUGAAAGUUUGCGGCUCAACCGUAAAAUUGCAGUUGAUACUGGAUAUCUUGAGUGCAGUUGAGGCAGGCGGAAUUCGUGGUGUAGCGGUGAAAUGCUUAGAUAUCACGAAGAACUCCGAUUGCGAAGGCAGCCUGCUAAGCUGCAACUGACAUUGAGGCUCGAAAGUGUGGGUAUCAAACAGGAUUAGAUACCCUGGUAGUCCACACGGUAAACGAUGAAUACUCGCUGUUUGCGAUAUACAGCAAGCGGCC
rnacentral:rRNA from 1 species